ensembl:lncRNA
GUCGGGGGGUCGCAGCGGUGCGGAGCCGCGCUGGCAGAGGGCGGGCAGGCCGAGGAGCAGCCCGCCCCGCGCUGACUAACGCGCUCUUAUCAACCGCUCAAACAAAAUGUAAACUUCAAAAAGCAACCAAACUGGGACUUGCCGCUGACUCACCGAUGACAGCAAAAAGUCAACAGAACUAUCCCAUCUGCGUGCUCCGCGCUGACUCCGCAGGAGCUGCCGAGACGUCCCGUGACCCCGAGCCGCUCGGUGCUGGCAUCGGGGAGGUGUCCCCGCGCGUCCCACGGCCCCGUGCCCACCCCGCACACUUACGGCUGCUCCUGGCACAGCUCCGCCGGCUCCGGGCGCGGUGUCCGCGUGUCGCCGCUCACACGCCGAGGGAUGGGAGCCUGCCGGAGGAGCAAACCCAUUAACGUGCAAUCAGUAAAUCUAAUUUAAUUAAACGACCGUAGCCGCCCUCCUCUAAAAUCAGGAGACGCGUUUCCAGUGAUUCUACCCGAGAGUCCUGAUCGAAUGUCCCUAUUACCCCGCGGCACUGUGGUCUCGCUGUGCAGACUCUAAGCUCUAUUCGAUAGAUCUGUCCGUGACACGUAGGGAAGGAGUGCAGAUGGAGGCUGGGUGAAGUGGGAGGCAGACGUGUGCUCCCGUCGCUGCCUCCUGCUCUACGAACGUCUCAGAACCAGAGAUCAGACGUAAUGCACCGAGGCCCAUCUCGUGGCACCACAGUGCUGGUCCAACCCAGCUGGUGCAGGCUGGGAGCGGUGGGUGAGCCUCCUGCAAGGGCUGUUCUCCACUUCGUCUCUUGAUAGAUGCUAAUUGCAUAUUGACUUUGGCCUGGGCUGGGACUAUUAGCAACCACUCCACAUCCGGACUAACAGAUUGCUUGUAACACUUUAAUUUUAGUUCCUUCCCCCUCCAGCACCCAGCAAUGCACUCUAAUGACGCCAUGCCCAGGCCUCGCUGCAAGCUGGGUCCUCUGCAGCCCAUGGGAGAGGCCAGGUCAGGCUGUUCCGGGGGUCACAUCUGGCCUGGAAACCAGCUUUAGUUUGAAAUUAAACAUUUUAGCAUAAGUGAACAUGUUUCAAGUUUUAUCAGCAGCCAGAGAAGUGAAAACAAG